rnacentral:rRNA from 1 species
AUCUAUGCCCACACUAUCUUGAACUUGCCAGAUCUAAUAUGAUCUUGGAAGCUAAGCAGGCCUGGACCAAGUCAGUACUUGGAUGGUAGAAAUCAUUUCUCAGGCCAGUAAGAUGGCUCCGUGGGCAAAGAAA